CUGCGGAAGGAUCAUUGUCAAAACCUGCAAAGAAGAAAGACCGGUGAACCCGUUACAACACUCGGGGGUGAUGUGCGAAACGCUCCUCAACCCUUGACGCCGAGUGCGUGCAGUUGCGUGCAGUGCCGCCUCGCGCCCUCGGCAAUAAACGCACCCCGGCGCGGAACGCGUCAAGGAAACACAAUGAAACGAGCUCCCGCCGCGGCCCCUGAAAUGGUGCUUGCCGCGGUGGCUGUGUCGUGCCUGGUUUAAGUCUAAAACGACUCUCGGCAACGGAUAUCUCGGCUCUCGCAUCGAUUAAUAACGUAGCGAAAUGCGAUACUUGGUGUGAAUUGCAGAAUCCCGUGAACCAUCGAGUCUUUGAACGCAAGUUGCGCCUGAAGCCUUCAGGCUGAGGGCACGUCUGCCUGGGCGUCACACACUGUUGCCCCCCUCCAAAAACCCCUUAUCGCUCUCCCCCGAGUGUCGGGGGCGUGUGGGGGGCGGAUGAUGGCCUCCCGUGUGUCUUGGCUCGCGGUUGGCCCAAAGUCGAUUCCUUGGUCACGGUUGCCGUGGCAAUAGGUGGUUGUCAACCACUCUGUGCCCUGUCAUGCGCGCCGAACACAGACCGAGACUCUAGUCUACCCCAAUGCAUCCCGCGCGGGUGCUUCUAACGCGACCCCAGGUCAGGCG
rnacentral:rRNA from 1 species